rnacentral:rRNA from 1 species
AGUGAACGCUGGCGGUAGGCCUAACACAUGCAAGUCGAACGGCAGCACAGUAAGAGCUUGCUCUUACGGGUGGCGAGUGGCGGACGGGUGAGGAAUACAUCGGAAUCUACUUUUUCGUGGGGGAUAACGUAGGGAAACUUACGCUAAUACCGCAUACGACCUACGGGUGAAAGCAGGGGAUCUUCGGACCUUGCGCGAUUGAAUGAGCCGAUGUCGGAUUAGCUAGUUGGCGGGGUAAAGGCCCACCAAGGCGACGAUCCGUAGCUGGUCUGAGAGGAUGAUCCGCCACCCUGGAACUGAGACACGGUCCAGACUCCUACGGGAGGCCGCAGUGGGGAAUAUUGGACAAUGGGCGCAAGCCUGAUCCAGCCAUACCGCGUGGGUGAAGAAGGCCUUCGGGUUGUAAAGCCCUUUUGUUGGGAAAGAAAAGCAGCAGGUUAAUACCCCGCUGUUCUGACGGUACCCAAAGAAUAAGCACCGGCUAACUUCGUG